GCCAGUGUAGCGUAGUGGUUAAAGAGCAGGACUUGUAAAUGAAAGGUUGCCGGUUCGAUUCCCCACUGGGG
rnacentral:tRNA from 1 species